UGGGAAUUACGGCCGCAAGGUUGAAACUCAAAGGAAUUGACGGGGCCCCGCACAAGCGGUGGAGCAUGUGGUUAAAUUCGACGCAACGCGAAGAACCUUACCCAGGCUUGAACUGCAGAGGACACUCUAAGAAAUUAGACUUCCGCAAGGACCUCUGUAGAGGUGCUGCAUGGCUGUCGUCAGCUCGUGUCGUGAGAUGUUGGGUUAAGUCCCGCAACGAGCGCAACCCUUGUCUUCUGUUGCCAUCAGGUUAAGCUGGGCACUCUGAAGAGACUGCCGGUGACAAACCGGAGGAAGGUGGGGAUGACGUCAAGUCAGCAUGGCCUUUAUGUCUGGGGCCACACACGUGCUACAAUGGCAGGUACAAACCGUCGCGAGACCGCAAGGUGGAGCUAAUCGGAUAAAGCCUGUCUCAGUUCGGAUUGUCGGCUGCAACUCGCCGGCAUGAAGUUGGAAUCGCUAGUAAUCGCGGAUCAGCACGCCGCGGUGAAUACGUUCCCGGGCCUUGUACACACCGCCCGUCACAUCACGAAAGCUGGCUGUACUAGAAGUAGCAGCGCUAACCCGCAAGGGAGGCAUGUUCCUAAGGUAUGGUCAGUGAUUGGGGUG
rnacentral:rRNA from 1 species